AUACAUAAAUUUCCAUGCUCAAUCGUCAGGACUUGAGCGGGUUUGUCUACGAUGCAGCCCACACCAUCCAGAGCGUUCUUGCAGCCUGCCAGCUCCUAUGCGUUACUCAGCUCUGAGCAACAGAGGAGGGCAAUGCUCACUCUUCAGGGUACAAAUUCAUCAUCUGAGGGGGCUGUUCUGAAUGGAAAUCUACCUUCUUCCAUCCUACCAUGUGAUUCUCUCCUGCAACCCUUGAAAGAGAAUGAUAUGAAAAAAUCUAUCUUUGCUUGAAGAAACAACUCCAAAAGGCCACAGUGAUCUGCUCUUUGGUCCCAUGGGCAUGUCCUCCCAUGGCCUCUGAUGAGGGCAAGUUGCUUUCAGAGACACUCCAGAAAGAAAAAAAAAGAAAAAUGUUUUAUAAGAUGCACAGGAAAGAAAUGAGAAGGUUUAAGAGUUGGAAAAAAAAAAUCCCCAUCUUUUGGUAUCAAAGCCCAUGGUAUUGCAAUACCUCCUGGCCAAAGAACUUACAGACAGAGCAACAGAAAAAAAAACUGCUUCUUCUCAAAGAAGAUUUGCCUCCAAAGACAUUUAGUCAUUACCCACACUGGUUUGGUCAACUCCUGGCAGCACAUUUAUAAGUCUGCAUUGUAACCACUUGUGGAGAUUGUUUAAAAUAACAAUGUCGGGGAUGUGGCUCAAGCGGUAGCAUGCUCGACUGGCAUGUGUGCGGCCCGGGUUC